rnacentral:snRNA from 1 species
AUAUGUGAGGGUGAUGUGGCUGUGAUAUCUGUCACCCCAUUGAUGGCCAGGGUUGAUUCAGCUGAUCCGGCUGGCUAGGCAGGUGUCCCCUUCUCCCCUCACUCUUCCAUGUGUGUCCCUCCCCAAAGCUGCAUGCUCAGUCAAAGAGGAUAGCCAACCCUGAUGGAGGAGGAUAUGGGUUAUUGGUCUAGGGUAUACAAGUAGCUGCACUUCCCUGCUUGAAUCUCCAAACAACCUCUUAAGAAGACAUACAAAUAGUAAACAAAAUAUAUGAAAAAUCAUCAUCAGGGAAACAUACAUCAAAACCACAAUGA